GUGCUAAUGAGGAUAUACAAGGUCCCCAAAUUAAUAUUCCAUUCUUCAACUUUAUCAGCUGACUUGAAUUUUUCUUUCAGUUGAUUUUCAUGGUUGGUACAUUU
rfam:Spinacia oleracea cultivar SynViroflay scaffold25878.con0001.1, whole genome shotgun sequence.